rnacentral:rRNA from 1 species
CAAGUCGAACGAUGAACCACCUUCGGGUGGGGAUUAGUGGCGAACGGGUGAGUAACACGUGGGCAAUCUGCCCUGCACUCUGGGACAAGCCCUGGAAACGGGGUCUAAUACCGGAUACUGACCUGCCAAGGCAUCUUGGCGGGUCGAAAGCUCCGGCGGUGCAGGAUGAGCCCGCGGCCUAUCAGCUUGUUGGUGAGGUAAUGGCUCACCAAGGCGACGACGGGUAGCCGGCCUGAGAGGGCGACCGGCCACACUGGGACUGAGACACGGCCCAGACUCCUACGGGAGGCAGCAGUGGGGAAUAUUGCACAAUGGGCGAAAGCCUGAUGCAGCGACGCCGCGUGAGGGAUGACGGCCUUCGGGUUGUAAACCUCUUUCAGCAGGGAAGAAGCGAAAGUGACGGUACCUGCAGAAGAAGCGCCGGCUAACUACGUGCCAGCAGCCGCGGUAAUACGUAGGGCGCAAGCGUUGUCCGGAAUUAUUGGGCGUAAAGAGCUCGUAGGCGGCUUGUCGCGUCGGUUGUGAAAGCCCGGGGCUUAACCCCGGGUCUGCAGUCGAUACGGGCAGGCUAGAGUUCGGUAGGGGAGAUCGGAAUUCCUGGUGUAGCGGUGAAAUGCGCAGAUAUCAGGAGGAACACCGGUGGCGAAGGCGGAUCUCUGGGCCGAUACUGACGCUGAGGAGCGAAAGCGUGGGGAGCGAACAGGAUUAGAUACCCUGGUAGUCCACGCCGUAAACGGUGGGCACUAGGUGUGGGCAACAUUCCACGUUGUCCGUGCCGCAGCUAACGCAUUAAGUGCCCCGCCUGGGGAGUACGGCGCAAGGCUAAAACUCAAAGGAAUUGACUGGGGCCCGCACAAGCGGCGGAGCAUGUGGCUUAAUUCGACGCAACGCGAGAACCUAA